rnacentral:rRNA from 1 species
CCUACGGGAGGCAGCAGUGGGGAAUAUUGGACAAUGGGCGCAAGCCUGAUCCAGCAAUGCCGCGUGAGUGAUGAAGGCCUUAGGGUCGUAAAGCUCUUUUACCAGGGAUGAUAAUGACAGUACCUGGAGAAUAAGCUCCGGCUAACUCCGUGCCAGCAGCCGCGGUAAUACGGAGGGAGCUAGCGUUGUUCGGAAUUACUGGGCGUAAAGCGUACGUAGGCGGUUAUUCAAGUCAGAGGUGAAAGCCCGGGGCUCAACCCCGGAACGGCCUUUGAAACUAGGUAGCUAGAAUCUUGGAGAGGUCAGUGGAAUUCCGAGUGUAGAGGUGAAAUUCGUAGAUAUUCGGAAGAACACCAGUGGCGAAGGCGACUGACUGGACAAGUAUUGACGCUGAGGUACGAAAGCGUGGGGAGCAAACAGGAUUAGAUACCCUGGUAGUCCACGCCGUAAACGAUGAUAACUAGCUGUUCGGGCACUUGGUGCGUGUAGUGGCGCGAGCUACGACAUUAAGUUAUUCCGUCCGUCGGGUAGGUACGGUCGCGAAGAAUUAAACUAACAAAGGAAAGUUAGUACGGCGUGAGACGUAGCCGACGGACGACGACGACGGGAGUAGG